CCGAUACUUGUGUAACCCUUGUCAUAUAAUGAACAAUAUGGUACUUUGUGUUUAAGUAAAAAUCGCCACACUUGGCUAUAGGUCCAGUAUAAUAUUGGAUUGACUCUCAUUAUGCUUGGCCAUCCUGAAUCGGUUUAAAAUAUUUUGGAGAACCAGGAAGAACAUAAAUAUUCGAGAUUUUGAUUACUGCAUAAUCAUCUAAAAAAAAUACGAAACUUAUGCUUUCCCAAGACUACUACUAUUUAACGACUGAUUUAUAUUCACAAAAUCUUCCCAAUAAGUAACUGUGUAUAAAAAUUCAACAACUCUUGAUGUAACUCAAGUUUUACUUUCAAUGCUUGCGCAAUUCCUUCGUACGUAACAUCAUCGUGCGUAGGACCAACUCCACCAGAUGUAAAAACAAUAGAAUAUUUUUUGGAUGCCUCAGAGACUUCUUGUGCAAUUUCUUCUACCUAAUACAAAAACCUAAAAGUAGUAAAAUUGUUUAUAACAUAUGAAGAAAUAGAAAAAAUUCGGAAUACACACUAUGUCAGGUACCACUGUUAUUUUGCAAAGCUUCACUCCUAUGUUUCUUAAUUUUUGUGCCAAAUAUGAUGUAUUUGUAUCUACGAUUUGUC